rnacentral:rRNA from 1 species
AGGAUAAACGCUGGCGGCGUGCCUAACACAUGCAAGUCGAACGCGCUUUCGGGCUUCGGUGCGAGAGCGAGUGGCGGACGGGUGAGUAACACAUGGGUACCUACCUUGGAGUGAGGGAUACCGGCGAGAAAUCGCCGACAAUACCGCAUAGGCUUCUUCACAAGGGAAGCAAAGUGACGCGAGUCACGCUUUGAGAUGGGCCUGUGGCCGAUUAGCUAGUUGGGGGGGUAACGGCUUCCCAAGGCGACGAUCGGUAGCUGGUCUGAGAGGACGAUCAGCCACACUGGGAUUGAGAACGGCCCAGACUCCUACGGGGGCAGCAGUGAGGAAUUUUCCGCAAUGGAGGCAACUCUGACGGAGCAACGCCGCGUGCAGGAGGAAGGUUUUCGGAUCGUAAACUGUUUUUCUCGGGGUACGAGCAAGGACGGUACCCGAGGAAGAAGCCCCGGCUAACUACGCGCCAGCAGCCGC